GCGCCAGCCUCAGCAGCACUAAGACUGGAAUGAUACAGAGAAGGUUGGCAUACUCACCCUUGUACAAGAAUGGCAUGCAAAUUCCUAAAGCAUUCAGUAGUAUU
rnacentral:snRNA from 1 species